AAGUUACAUAGGAAAGGAUAUAUGGAAACAAAAGUCGAUGAAGACUACAGUAGAGGAGUACUGGAUGCAAACAGGAGAAAGAACAAGCUAGAUAAGUUGAGAGAGAAAGAAUUAGAGACAGAAAAGCUUAAAAGAUAUUAAUGAUGUUUUGUUGUCACAUGACUCCAUGACAGAAGAGAUUCAAUUCAGCAGUGAGGGAGAAAAGUCAAACGAGGACUCUGAAAUCAGCGAGGAAGAUGAUUUCCUGGGUAACGGUCGGAAACGCAGGUACAAUUCUGGAGAUAGGAUAAAUCUAGCAGUGAAUGUU